rnacentral:rRNA from 1 species
UGGGGAAUAUUGCGCAAUGGGGGGAACCCUGACGCAGCCAUGCCGCGUGAAUGAAGAAGGCCUUAGGGUUGUAAAGUUCUUUCGGUAUUGAGGAAGGUUGAUGUGUUAAUAGCACAUCAAAUUGACGUUAAAUACAGAAGAAGCACCGGCUAACUCCGUGCCAGCAGCCGCGGUAAUACGGAGGGUGCGAGCGUUAAUCGGAAUAACUGGGCGUAAAGGGCACGCAGGCGGUUAUUUAAGUGAGGUGUGAAAGCCCCGGGCUUAACCUGGGAAUUGCAUUUCAGACUGGGUAACUAGAGUACUUUAGGGAGGGGUAGAAUUCCACGUGUAGCGGUGAAAUGCGUAGAGAUGUGGAGGAAUACCGAAGGCGAAGGCAGCCCCUUGGGAAUGUACUGACGCUCAUGUGCGAAAGCGUGGGGAGCAAACAGGAUUAGAUACCCUGGUAGUCCACGCUGUAAACGCUGUCGAUUUGGGGGUUGGGGUUUAACUCUGGCGCCCGUAGCUAACGUGAUAAAUUGACCGCCUGGGGAGUACGGCCGCAAGGUUA